rnacentral:rRNA from 1 species
UGUGGUUUAAUUCGUAUGCAACGCGAAGAACCUUAACCUGGUCUUGACAUCCCGGAGACCCUUAGGAAACUAGGGGGUGGCUUCCAUCUGGAAGAAUCUGGAGACAGGUGCUGCAUGGCUGUCGUCAGCUCGUGUCGUGAGAUGUUGGGUUAAGUCCCGCAACGAGCGCAACCCUUGCCUUUAGUUGCCAGCAGUUCGGCUGGGCACUCUAAAGGGACUGCCGGUGUUAAACCGGAGGAAGGUGGGGAUGACGUCAAGUCCUCAUGGCCUUUAUGACCAGGGCUACACACGUACUACAAUGGCCGAUACAAAGGGCAGCGACACUGCGAGGUGAAGCCAAUCCCGUAAAAUCGGUCUCAGUCCGGAUUGGAGUCUGCAACUCGACUCCAUGAAGUUGGAAUCGCUAGUAAUCGUGGAUCAGCAUGCCACGGUGAAUACGUUCCCGGGCCUU